rnacentral:rRNA from 1 species
CACGUAGGGGGCGAGCGUUGUCCGGAUUUAUUGGGCGGAAAGAGCUCGUAGGCGGCUCAGUAAGUCAGGUGUGAAAACUCCAGGCUCAACCUGGAGACGCCACCUGAUACUGCUGUGGCUAGAGUCCGGUAGGGGAGCAUGGAAUUCCUGGUGUAGCGGUGAAAUGCGCAGAUAUCAGGAGGAACACCAGUGGCGAAGGCGGUGCUCUGGGCCGGAACUGACGCUGAGGAGCGAAAGCGUGGGGAGCAAACAGG